GUUAUUAAGGGGGCAGGGGGAAGGCCUGGCACCUAA
rnacentral:rRNA from 1 species